AAAACCUCAGUUCGUUUAAAAAGUGGGGAGAAUAGUGAGGUAUAUCAAAUUCAAAGGCCGAGAAACCGUUUCACUCGUCCAUUGACGUUCUGAUUGUCGCUCGUCCACAC